rnacentral:rRNA from 1 species
AGCAGCCGCGGUAAUUCCAGUUCCAAUAGCGUAUAUUAAAGUUGUUGCAGUUAAAAAGCUCGUAGUUGAAUUUCGGGGUUAGCAGGUCGGUCGUGCCAUCGGUAUGAACUGGUCUCGCUGAUCCCUCCCUCUUGACGAACUGUGAUGCCAUUAAUUUGGUGUCGCAGGGAAUCAGGACUGUUACUUUGAAAAAAUUAGAGUGUUUAAAGCAGGCUCACGCUUGAAUACAUUAGCAG